UGGGGAAUUUUGGACAAUGGGCGAAAGCCUGAUCCAGCAAUGCCGCGUGUGUGAAGAAGGCCUUCGGGUUGUAAAGCACUUUUGUCCGGAAAGAAAUGGCUCUGGUUAAUACCUGGGGUCGAUGACGGUACCGGAAGAAUAAGGACCGGCUAACUACGUGCCAGCAGCCGCGGUAAUACGUAGGGUCCAAGCGUUAAUCGGAAUUACUGGGCGUAAAGCGUGCGCAGGCGGUUGUGCAAGACCGAUGUGAAAUCCCCGAGCUUAACUUGGGAAUUGCAUUGGUGACUGCACGGCUAGAGUGUGUCAGAGGGGGGUAGAAUUCCACGUGUAGCAGUGAAAUGCGUAGAGAUGUGGAGGAAUACCGAUGGCGAAGGCAGCCCCCUGGGAUAACACUGACGCUCAUGCACGAAAGCGUGGGGAGCAAACAGGAUUAGAUACCCUGGUAGUCCACGCCCUAAACGAUGUCAACUGGUUGUUGGGGAUUCAUUUCCUUAGUAACGUAGCUAACGCGUGAAGUUGACCGCCUGGGGAGUACGGUCGCAAGAUUAAAAGCUCAAAUGAUUGACGGGGGCUGCAUAGCUGUUUUCCUAG
rnacentral:rRNA from 1 species